rnacentral:rRNA from 1 species
GACGAACGCUGGCGGCGCGCCUAACACAUGCAAGUCGAACGAGCGAGCGGAGGUUUUCUUUCUCAAGCGAGUGGCGAACGGGUGAGUAACGCGUGAGGAACCUGCCUCAAAGAGGGGGACAACAGUUGGAAACGACUGCUAAUACCGCAUAAGCCCACGACCCGGCAUCGGGUAGAGGGAAAAGGAGCAAUCCGCUUUGAGAUGGCCGCGCGUCCGAUUAGCUAGUUGGUGAGGUAAUGGCCCACCAAGGCGACGAUCGGUAGCCGGACAGAGAGGUUGAACGGACACAUUGGGACUGAGACACGGCCCAGACUCCUACGGGAGGCAGCAGUGGGGAAUAUUGCACAAUGGGGGAAACCCUGAUGCAGCGACGCCGCGUGGAGGAAGAAGGUCUUCGGAUUGUAAACUCCUGUUGUUGAGGAAGAUAAUGACGGUACUCAACAAGGAAGUGACGGCUAACUACGUG